AUCCAGACUCCUACGGGAGGCAGCAGUGGGGAAUAUUGCACAAUGGGGGAAACCCUGAUGCAGCGACGCCGCGUGAGCGAUGAAGUAUUUCGGUAUGUAAAGCUCUAUCAGCAGGGAAGAAAAUGACGGUACCUGACUAAGAAGCCCCGGCUAACUACGUGCCAGCAGCCGCGGUAAUACGUAGGGGGCGAGCGUUAUCCGGAUUUACUGGGUGUAAAGGGAGCGUAGACGGCCAUGCAAGCCUGAUGUGAAAGGUGUGGGCACAACCCGCACACUGCAUUGGGAACUGUAUGGCUAGAGUGUCGGAGGGGCAGGCGGAAUUCCUGGUGUAGCGGUGAAAUGCGUAGAUAUCAGGAGGAACACCGGUGGCGAAGGCGGCUUACUGGACGGUAACUGACGUUGAGGCUCGAAAGCGUGGGGAGCAAACAGGAUUAGAUACCCCCGUAAAA
rnacentral:rRNA from 1 species